rnacentral:rRNA from 1 species
UACGAAGGGGGCUAGCGUUGCUCGGAAUCACUGGGCGUAAAGGGUGCGUAGGCGGGUUUUUAAGUCAGAGGUGAAAUCCUGGAGCUCAACUCCAGAACUGCCUUUGAUACUGGCUAUCUUGAGUAUGGGAGAGGUUAGCGGAACUCCGAGUGUAGAGGUGAAAUUCGUAGAUAUUCGGAAGAACACCAGUGGCGAAGGCGGCUAACUGGCCCAUUACUGACGCUGAGGCUCGAAAGCGUGGGGAGCGAACAGG